CAUAUUUAAUUCCCUUUUCAAAAUCAUUAGUUCAUUCCUUCACAAUAGUUGUUUUUGAGGGGUUUUAUAUAGUAUUAGUCGCAUAUCUUAAUUAAAUCAAACCGGCCGAAUCAAAUAUAAGAAUCGAUAUAUUCAAUCACAUUUUUAAAGCAUAUUGAGUAUUAUUGAAAAAACAAUAUGAUAGACUAGUUACAUUUUGCGAAGAAUAUAAUUAAGAUCUGCUCAUUAGUUUUUUUAAAGUACAAUUAUAUAAAUUAAAUUCAAACCGAAAAGAAUAUUGAAAAAAAUUCUCCGAUUAACCGAUAAAAAACAAUCAAAAGUUCUCGUCUUUUUCGUUGAUGUUUUCUUCGUGGUGGCCGUUGGUUCUUUUACUGCUACGGUCAUCCCUCUGUUUGCGCUCUAGUUUUAGUCUCUGUUUUCCCUCUUUGAUUUCUAUUUCUGGAGCACCGGCGAGACUUUGACCCAUGAUGUGAAGCCAGAGAGCUCGAGUUUGGAGGUGGUUUGUGUGGUUUAACUAGAUCUGGAUCAUAUCUGGCGGAUCUGUGAUAAGGUUACAGUUGAGGUUUCACCGGUGGUAAGGGCUUCUUUUCCCUUGUCAUUUCGUUUACCCUCAACUUCUUCGUUCUUCGACCUGUGGAGAUCCUCGAUCUAAGCAGUAUAGAAUAUCUGGUUUCCAUUGUUGUGUGGAAACUUAUGUUGAACUCUUCUGUCUGUGAAUUUUAAAGGGAAUUAUUGGUCAUUUUUUGGUUGUUUGAUCUCUAUACUUGCAAUUCUUUCGAGUUUUUGAUAUGGUAGUGAAUAUCCUGUUUCUUGCUGCCAGUUUCUCUGUAUUUUCGAUGGUUUCGGAUGGGAUUGACUUUUUAUCUCUAGAUAUGUUGAGAUUAGAGUGUUGGUUGUAUGGCUUUUAUCGAGGCAUAGCUUGAACACGUGAAGUGUGUCGCCGCCGUAUCCAGAAAAAGAUGAGAACUAUGAGUGGUUCAUUUUUGCCGGGUGAUAAAAUUUGGUUUCGUAGAGUUGAUGUUAUCGUGUGGUAGGCUGCGGGCGACAACGAUAAAUCUCGUUCAAGAAGCGUCAUGUGAUGUUGUAAGGUUGCAAGUGUAGUAUGCUAAUUUCUUUGUGGAUUUUUUAAUUUAUCAUUGUUGUAGUUCUGUCUAUAUUAUAUCUUCGGUAUUCUAUUAAGUUGUAAGUUAUUUCGGUGUGGGUUCUAUCUACCUAUUUGUGGACU